ACUAUGUUUUAGAGGAGUUGUUCAUGGUUUAAGGGACAUUAAUUUUGUAUUUUUUUCAUUUGAGUCAUUGUAAUUCUAUUCUCUUCUAAAACCGACAUCUAUAUAGGUUUUGUAAGUCUUUUUAUUGAUAAAUCGUGUAAUUCGAAAAAUCAAGACUUCACGUGGAUUUAUGGAGGCAAGAUAAUGACGAUCAGUAGAGCUCAAGAAGGUUUUUGCAGACAAUACAAGUUCGGGAAAUUCUGUCCCAAGAUAGCAUGGAAGAACACAAAGUGAACGAACAAAAAUGGAAUUUUCCGCACCUUUGACUCGACCAUGUGCCCCCAAGAAAUGCCUCAUGCACCCAGGGGCAUGACACUGCUAGACGACAAUGUUCUGGCUGGUCAAUGCGCCCCAGCAUGCGCCACAACGCAUGGUUCUGGGUAAUUUUUGCAUUUUGCUUGUUUUUCAAGAUGGAUAACCGGAAGAAAAAAAAAGCCCCGAAUCCCAAGGCAAACCCUCGUGAAAACAUGCUUAAAAUAGUGAUAUUUUGUAUUGUUUUCAUUUGAGUCAUUGUAAUUUUAUUUUUACCCAAAAUUGACAACACCAUUUGUAUUUUGAGUCUUUUAUUGAUAAAUCAUGUAAUUUGGUUAAACAAGACAUCUCAUGGCCAUGCGUCCCAUGAAAUACCUUAUGCACCACAUACACAUGGAACUUCCUGAUGGGAGUGUUCUAGCUGGCCAACAUGCGCUUCGUCACAUGGUUCCAUGUAAUUUUUGUCUUUUGCUUGUUUUUAAAGAUGUACCGGUGGAAAAAGCCACGAAACUCGAGGAAAACCAAGGUGGAAACAUGCCUAUACAUAAAGAGCUUUGCACACACUAUUAUUUAUUCAGAAACUUAAGGUGGUGGCAAGCAUGAAGGAGCAUCAAGAGGAGUUCUCAUUCUCUCUUUUGUCUCUAGUUUUCAGGGAAAUCAUGGCACAUUGUUUGGAGAUCGUGACAUGAUUUGUGUUACAAAGUUUAGAGCGAUUCACUGGUUUUAUCGUGGCAUGAGGGCAUGUCAUCGUGGCUCGCUUAACGGAUGGAGUGUAGUACUAUACUAGUACUUCAACCAAAUUGUGGCACAUUGGUUUCAAAUUGUGGCACAGUUGGACAAAAUUUGAAACACUAUUUAAGCACUUUUUGACCCAUUUAUUGAGAGAGAUUGAGAAUCUCAUGAAAACCAAAGGAGGGAAAUUUAAGGGAACUUAGAAGAUAAGAGUUAAGGGUCUUUAGGUGAGAUCCAAAGGUUCUAAAUGUGAUCUUGGAGAACGUAAAAAGGGGGAUCUUGAGAAAGGGUUUGUACCUUUUGGGGAGAGAUUUAUGGGGUUAAGAAACACAUAAAUUAGUAGAGAGUCAUUUGUGAGCAACUUAGGAAACCAAACGUGAAGAUCCUCAGGAAAUAAAAGGCUAAGGUUUGGUGACUUUUGGGGGCUAGAUUCUAAAAAUGGGAAACAAUUAGGAAACACCUUGGGUGCGUGAAAAUCAUUGAGUAUUUUGUUCAUGAAAAUAGAUUGGAAAAAAGGUAGAAAUUAGGUUUGUUCUUAGAGAGCUUGUUGAAGCUAAUUCUUAUAACAUUUUUGUAUCUCUUUAAAAAGAACUCAUUGAUAGUGAAGUGGAGAGAUCUCUCUCCCCCAUAGUAGGUCAUUGUUUCACCGAACUGAGUAAAUAAUUCUUUCGUGUUGUUCUCUUUUCUCUA